UUGACCUCGGAUCAGGUAGGGAUACCCGCUGAACUUAAGCAUAUCAAUAAGCGGAGGAAAAGAAACCAACCGGGAUUGCCUCAGUAACGGCGAGUGAAGCGGCAAGAGCUCAAAUUUGAAAUCUGGCCCCUCCGGGGUCCGAGUUGUAAUUUGCAGAGGAUGCUUCGGGUGCGGCCCCUGUCUAAGUGCCCUGGAACGGGCCGUCAGAGAGGGUGAGAAUCCCGUCUUGGGCAGGGUGCCCGUGCCCGUGUGAAGCUCCUUCGACGAGUCGAGUUGUUUGGGAAUGCAGCUCAAAAUGGGUGGUAAAUUUCAUCUAAAGCUAAAUACCGGCCGGAGACCGAUAGCGCACAAGUAGAGUGAUCGAAAGAUGAAAAGCACUUUGAAAAGAGAGUUAAACAGCACGUGAAAUUGUUGAAAGGGAAGCGCUUGCAACCAGACUCGGCCUCGGGGUUCAGCCAGCAUUCGUGCUGGUGUACUUCCCCGGGGCCGGGCCAGCGUCGGUUUGGGCGGCCGGUCAAAGGCCCCAGGAAUGUAUCGUCCUCCGGGACGUCUUAUAGCCUGGGGUGCAAUGCGGCCAGCCUGGACCGAGGAACGCGCUUCGGCACGGACGCUGGCGUAAUGGUCGCAAACGACC
rnacentral:rRNA from 1 species